GUGGCAUUUCCGUUUGUACAGUGAAGAAAUGAGUUACAAGUAAUAAAUAAAAGCGACUUUUGUUAGAUUUCUUUUAACCUACAAUCUACUGAAAUUAAACCCGUUGUUAUCCUGCGACGGAGAGCGAAAUGAACACCCGACGGUGCAUCUUGUGAACAACUUUGAAGCGGAUCUCCUUCCAGCCACAACCCAGCACUGGGAAACACCCAUUCACUCUCUCAAACAGCAGUCAGACAGAUACAGCAAUGAAGUGAAUGAAGAAGCUAUUCACUUCAGAGUCAAAAAACCAAUUUCUGGAACUGUUCUUCGCCAGACUUCAACCCCAUCAUCAGGGUCAACUCCUCUCUGUGUUUCAAGUCAGCCAAUGUACUUGUCAAUCUACAGUACAGACUGGUAACAACGGGAAAGCCAUCCAUGAGGUGCCUGAAGCCAUUGACUUGCAUUUCAUGAAUCACCAAGCACCACGGAUGCAGCAAAAAAUCUUCUUUAAUGUUCUACUGCAGUGAAACGUCGUCUCAUCUUAGUUGGCCUGAGGCUUUGAGACUGUUGACUCUGGAAGUGCUGCUGGCAUGUGCCCACCUUCACUCGAAAGGUCAGACAUCUCACAGCCAUGCAUUCAAACAGUCAUCUCUCGUCGUGCUUCUCCACGAAUUUGCUGUUUCAUUGUCAGAAUGACAGCAGAGCUUUCAGUCUGAUGAUACAAUUAUCAGGAGUGCUCUUGUGAAUACUA
rnacentral:lncRNA from 1 species